rnacentral:rRNA from 1 species
UACGAAGGGGGCUAGCGUUGUUCGGAAUUACUGGGCGUAAAGCGCACUAGGCGGAUCGAUCAGUCAGGGGUGAAAUCCCAGAGCUCAACUCUGGAACUGCCUUUUGAUACUGUCGAUCUGGAGUAUGGAAGAGGUGAGUGGAAUUCCGAGUGUAGAGGUGAAAAUUCGUAGAUAUUCGGAGGAACACCAGUGGCGAAGGCGGCUCACUGGUCCAUUACUGACGCUGAGGUGCGAAAGCGUGGGGGAGCAAACAGG